GAUGGGUUUUGUCCUUUGUAUGUUCUUCCUUUUUAAAAUUUUGUGUCUCUUCAAUAUUCCCAGAUCUUCGUCUAUGCUAAUGCGGAGGUGUUCGAUACGAAGAGAUUAUCGAUCAAAAGUUGUGAUCUUCUUCUGCCAUGGAGUGCAAUAUGUCAAUAAAAGGUCAUCGUCUCAAUAUAACGACAACUUUUUUUUUCUUUUAGCAUUGCAAUCACUAUAUGUGCCUGGAUAUAAAAUCUAAUCAAGAUACUUCUACUUUUGUAUUAUAAUAUUUCUUGAAUAUUUUGUGUCUUGUA